GACGAACGCUGGCGGCAUGCCUAAUACAUGCAAGUCGAGCGAACAGAUGAAGUGCCUGCACUUCUGACGUUAGCGGCGAACGGGUGAGUAACACGUAAGGAAUCUACCUAUAAGCGGGGGAUAACAUUCGGAAACGGGUGCUAAUACCGCAUAAUAUCUUCUUCCGCAUGGAAGAAGAUUGAAAGACGGCUCUGCUGUCACUUAUAGAUGACCUUGCGGUGCAUUAGGUAGUUGGUGGGGUAACGGCCUACCAAGACGAUGAUGCAUAGCCGACCUGAGAGGGUGAUCGGCCACAUUGGGACUGAGACACGGCCCAAACACAUACGGGAGGCAGCAGUAGGGAAUCUUCCGCAAUGGGCGAAAGCCUGACGGAGCAAUGCCGCGUGAGUGAAGAAGUCCUUCGGGUCGUAAAACUCUGUUAUAAGAGAAGAACAAAUUGUAGAGUAACUGCUACAGUCUUGACGGUAUCUUAUCAGAAAGCCACGGCUAACUACGUGCCAGCCGCCGCAGUAA
rnacentral:rRNA from 1 species